rnacentral:lncRNA from 1 species
AUGUUUUUCCUGUUGAAAACAUUGAUCAAAAAUACCAUUUUCAUUCUCUAAAACAAGUGUGUAAGAGACACCAAUUGAUUAAUUUUCUUUGACAACAACAUCCCGCGAUCACUUCAAUCGUUCCUUCAUUGAUCAUACUCUUUUAUCGAACCAAGUUAGUGGUUCUUGUCUUUGCACGUUUGCAUGUGUUGGUCCACCGGGAUGCGACGGCCCGUGUUGGAAUUUUUCACUACUUCUCUCCUGUGUAUGUCCACAGUCACCUUCAAUGGGCCUCAUGUAGAAAGCGACGGUGGAUUCGCUUUGCAAAGCACUGGACUUUUAUGAUCCUUCUGUUUUCUUCAUCCGGCCCACACCAUCCUGCUGUCGGAAGUCCCAGAACAAAAGAAAGACAGAAGCCCAGAAACAAAACUUAUGUGAUUGGUAUUUUACCUAGAGGCUGGAAAUGCUUCUUUGUUAUUUUUGCAAAUUAUUGAAAAGGGGGAAAAAAAAAUUGAUUCUGUAGCAUUAUGUUUUAUGUGUAUCAAGUAAUGGUUUAAAUUGGAAUAAAACUAAUGUCAAAAUGCGUAAAAACUUUGAUGGAAGUAAAAUUGGAAAACGAUCAAAACUCCUAAAAUCUCAAUAGAGCUUUGCAGACGCUUUAAGACAUCAUAAUACAUAUUAUUGGGGAAAAAAAUUUAAAAUUCUGGCCUUUAAUUUAAAGCCAGCAUUACAUUUAUGAAAAGAUAAUCCAGAAUAUGGCCAAUGAUAGUCAUUUUAUUAACUCCAAUGUUUUUAUCUAAUUUCUUAGCUUUAAAUUAAAAGUGACCUUAUAACAAUAACCUUACAGCCACACCUACUGGUGGUUGUAAAUAGUGAUUUUAUUUCACUUUUGAAUUGAGAAAACGAGACAAUAAAUAUUAUUGCAUCACUGCAUGUGCUGUCUCACAAGCAUCACCAUGCGCUUGUAAACCCAUCGCAUAGAAGUCUUCUCUUGAAAUGAGUUUCUGAAGACUUUCAUCCACAUCAUAAGAAUUGCACGUCCAGAGGAAAAUGGUAUAAUUAGAUAGGUAACAGGAACACACAGACAUGUAUAUUAUAUGAUUAUUAAGCUCCGCUAAGAAUCGGAAAACUCGAAAAGAUUGCAUGGACAGCCAGUCCCUUCCAUUUGCUGCUUUAUUUUCUACCUAUUCAUCUCCAUAUAUGCUAUAACAAACUAUACAUGUCACUUCCACUCACUACCACUGCAAAAUAUGCAGAUUUUGGUGAAGAUAUAUCUUCAAAAAAAUAACACUGUUGGUCGGCUCCUUAUGGUGAAAGCAAGAAAUCGUCAAGGGUUUCAAGUUCAAGGGAUACAUUUAACUGAGGGUCAGAAAGGUGGGCUGCAAGGUAGAUUGAAACAAAAACAAAAAUAAAAAUAGUGGAUAUUGGUAUGUAUGGUGCUAGCUAGUUGUUUCAACUGGUGCGACUUCUUGCUGUAGUGUAUAAAUUUUAAGUUAAUUAAUUCAAGGAGAACAUUUUAGUGAGAUUAUUUUGGUCUUUGGAUGUUGCCCAUGUGCAUAUUUAUGUUAAAAAAAAAUAGACAAAUUAGUCCUACAUUAAUUAAAUCACGCUUAUUGUAUUACUGUUUGAUGAUUAUAUUAUUUCCAAUAUUGUAUUAAAAAAAUAUCUCUGUCAUUAUACAUAUAAAAAUAAAAAUACAUAUGAAUCAUCUAUGUUUCUUCCAACUUAACAUAUCAUGAUGACCUUUUAACUACUAAAUUUGGUGGUGCUACUUUCUAUAUAACUAUUUAAGUAAUCAAUAAGAAAUUUGAAAAAUACACGAUAAACUUAAAUUAGAAAACAAGAUAUCUCUCAUUGGUAUAGAAAACAAGAUAUCUCUCAUUGGUAUACUUUUUUUUUUUUUGGUUAAAUGAAAGGCUUGCCUUCUUUUCAAGUUUCUGUACUCUCACCAAUUUCUAGCCGCCAUUACAACCAAAAUCGCUUCCUCACUUCCAUCAGUCAUAGUUGAUAUUUCUUUGGCAUAAUCGAAAACUCUAUUUUAGCAAAGUAAAUAAUAAUGACCGGAUCCGGAUCAUGAACGGCACUGAUGAUCGAAAACUCUAUAAUAUACAUAUAGGAAUUUCGUGCCUUUAUUAGGAAAAAUAAGUCUGGAGAGUCCAACUCAAGACAGCUCAACUCCCACUUGUAAGAAAAAUGUGUAAAAAUUUAUGAUAAGGUGAUAUGACGACGAUGAGGAGGAGGAUUAGGAUGAGGAUGAGGAUGAUGACUAGUGGGGGUCAAAAAGUUUUUCGGAGCAUGACAAAGUAUUGUUAAAGGAUGGUCAAUUGGUC